rnacentral:rRNA from 1 species
UACGUAGGGUCCGAGCGUUGUCCGGAAUUACUGGGCGUAAAGCGCGCGCAGGCGGCCCGCGAGGUGUCACGUGAAAGCCCCGGGCUCAACCCGGGAGGGUCGUGGCAAACCGGCGGGCUUGAGGCCGGUAGAGGUGGGUGGAACUCCUGGUGGAGUGGUGAAAUGCGUAGAGAUCAGGAAGAACACCCGUGGCGAAGGCGGCCCACUGGGCCGGUACUGACGCUGAGGCGCGAAGGCGUGGGGAGCGAAUGGG